GCCAGAGUGGCGUAGUGGUUUAAACAUUUGGACUACAACUCUGGAGACCAGGGUUUGAAUCCCCACUCAGCCA